rnacentral:rRNA from 1 species
GACGAACGCUGGCGGCGUGCUUAACACAUGCAAGUCGAACGGAAAGGCCCUGCUUUUGUGGGGUGCUCGAGUGGCGAACGGGUGAGUAACACGUGAGUAACCUGCCCUUGACUUUGGGAUAACUUCAGGAAACUGGGGCUAAUACCGGAUAGGAGCUCCUGCUGCAUGGUGGGGGUUGGAAAGUUUCGGCGGUUGGGGAUGGACUCGCGGCUUAUCAGCUUGUUGGUGGGGUAGUGGCUUACCAAGGCUUUGACGGGUAGCCGGCCUGAGAGGGUGACCGGCCACAUUGGGACUGAGAUACGGCCCAGUCUCCUACGGGAGGCAGCAGUGGGGAAUAUUGCACAAUGGGCGGAAGCCUGAUGCAACAACGCCGCGUGCGGGAUGACGGCCUUCGGGUUGUAAACCGCUUUCGCCUGUGACGAAGCGUGAGUGACGGUAAUGGGUAAAGAAGCACCGGCUAACUACGUG